AGUGAAUAGAUACCCGGGUAGUCCUGGCAGUAAACGGUGCACGUUUGGUGUGGGAGGUUUCGACCCCUUCUGCGCCGGAGCUAAACGCGUUAAAAACGUGCCGCCUGGGGUAGUACGGUCGCAAGAUUAAAACCUCAAACGAAAUUGACGGGGGUCCCGCACAAGCGGUGGAGUAUGUGGCUUAAUUCGAUGCAACGCGAAGAACCUUACCUGGCCUUGACAUGCAUCUCUAACGUUGGUGAAACGCCAGCGAGUGUAGCAAUACACAAUUUGCACAGGUGCUGCAUGGCUGUCGUCAGCUCGUGUCGUGAGAUGUUGGG
rnacentral:rRNA from 1 species